rnacentral:rRNA from 1 species
AUUGAACGCUGGCGGCAUGCUUUACACAUGCAAGUCGAACGGCAGCGCGGGCUUCGGCCUGGCGGCGAGUGGCGAACGGGUGAGUAAUACAUCGGAACGUGCCCAGUAGUGGGGGAUAGCUCGGCGAAAGCCGGAUUAAUACCGCAUACGACCUGAGGGUGAAAGCGGGGGAUCUUCGGACGUCGCGCUAUUUGAUCGGCCGAUGGCUGAUUAGCUAGUUGGUGGGGUAAAGGCCUACCAAGGCGACGAUCUGUAGCUGGUCUGAGAGGACGACCAGCCACACUGGGACUGAGACACGGCCCAGACUCCUACGGGAGGCAGCAGUGGGGAAUUUUGGACAAUGGGCGAAAGCCUUAUCCAGCAAUGCCGCGUGUGUGAUGAAGGCCUUCGGGUUGUAAAGCACUUUUGGCGGGAACGAAAAGGACUGUGCCAAUACCACGGUACGAUGACGGUACCCGCAGAAUAAGCACCGGCUAACUACGUG